UCUGUGCAUCAUAUCUUAGCCUAGCCUACCUUAAACGUGCUCAGAACACUUACAUUAGGCCACAAUUGGGCAAAAUCAUUUAACAUAAAACCUAUUUUAUAAU